rnacentral:sRNA from 1 species
CUCAACCGCAAGGAGGGGGAUGCCUAAGGCAGGGCUAGUGACUGGGGUGAAGUCGUAACAAGGUAGCCGUACCGGAAGGUGUGGCUGGAUCACCUCCUUAAAGGGAGACCUAAUUCCGGUAGGAGACGAAAAAAAAGUAGUCCCAACCAAGAAUCAAUCCCAAAAGGUCGGAGCGAGGCGAAAUUGGCUUUCAAACUAGGUUCUGGGUUCACACAAGACCUGAAUCAGGAACAAGGGCUAUUAGCUCAGGUGGUUAGAGCGCACCCCUGAUAAGGGUGAGGUCCCUGGUUCGAGUCCAGGAUGGCCCACCUGCACAGGUGGCAAAAACAAAGAAGCUCCGAAUCAGCACCUUAUCUUACUUAUAUAGUAAGAGAGAAUGCUGGCUCUGAGUUCAGAGUCCAGAGGAACCUUGAAAACUGCAUAGAGCUAGGUGAAAAAGCCAAAAAAGAAGACCGCAAGGUCAAGCUAAUAAGGGCUAACGGUG